CGAAAAGAACCCCGGCGAGGGGAGUGAAAAAGAACCUGAAACCGUGUACGUACAAGCAGUGGGAGCACGCUUAGGCGUGUGACUGCGUACCUUUUGUAUAAUGGGUCAGCGACUUAUAUUCUGUAGCAAGGUUAACCGAAUAGGGGAGCCGAAGGGAAACCGAGUCUUAACUGGGCGUUAAGUUGCAGGGUAUAGACCCGAAACCCGGUGAUCUAGCCAUGGGCAGGUUGAAGGUUGGGUAACACUAACUGGAGGACCGAACCGACUAAUGUUGAAAAAUUAGCGGAUGACUUGUGGCUGGGGGUGAAAGGCCAAUCAAACCGGGAGAUAGCUGGUUCUCCCCGAAAGCUAUUUAGGUAGCGCCUCGUGAAUUCAUCUCCGGGGGUAGAGCACUGUUUCGGCAAGGGGGUCAUCCCGACUUACCAACCCGAUGCAAACUGCGAAUACCGGAGAAUGUUAUCACGGGAGACACACGGCGGGUGCUAACGUCCGUCGUGAAGAGGGAAACAACCCAGACCGCCAGCUAAGGUCCCAAAGUCAUGGUUAAGUGGGAAACGAUGUGGGAAGGCCCAGACAGCCAGGAUGUUGGCUUAGAAGCAGCCAUCAUUUAAAGAAAGCGUAAUAGCUCACUGGUCGAGUCGGCCUGCGCGGAAGAUGUAACGGGGCUAAACCAUGCACCGAAGCUGCGGCAGCGACGCUGAUGCGUUGUUGGGUAGGGGAGCGUUCUGUAAGCCUGUGAAGGUG
rnacentral:rRNA from 1 species